GACGAACGCUGGCGGCGUGCUUAACACAUGCAAUUCGAACGAUGAAGCCGGAGCUUGCUCCGGUGGAUUAGUGGCGAACGGGUGAGAAACACGUGAGCAAUCUGCCCUUGACUCUGGGAUAACUGCGGGAAACUGUAGCUAAUACCGGAUACGACACCUUGGGGCAUCCCAGGGUGUGGAAAGAAUUUCGGUCAAGGAUGAGCUCGCGGCCUAUCAGCUAGUUGGUGAGGUAAUGGCUCACCAAGGCGACGACGGGUAGCCGGCCUGAGAGGGUGACCGGCCACACUGGAACUGAGACACGGUCCAGACUCCUACGGGAGGCAGCAGUGGGGAAUAUUGCACAAUGGGCGAAAGCCUGAUGCAGCAACGCCGCGUGAGGGAUGAAGGCCUUCGGGUUGUAAACCUCUUUUAGCAGGGAAGAAGCGAAAGUGACGGUACCUGCAGAAAAAGCACCGGCUAACUACGUGCCAGCCGCCGCAGUAA
rnacentral:rRNA from 1 species